CAGUCGCCACGGUAAUACGAAGGGUGCAAGCGUUACUCGGAAUUACUGGGCGUAAAGCGUGCGUAGGUGGUGGUUUAAGUCCGUUGUGAAAGCCCUGGGCUCAACCUGGGAAUUGCAGUGGAUACUGGGUCACUAGAGUGUGGUAGAGGAUAGUGGAAUUUCCGGUGUAGCAGUGGAAUGCGUAGAGAUCGGAAGGAACAUCUGUGGCGAAGGCGACUAUCUGGGACAACACUGACGCUGAGGCACGAAAGCGUGGGGAGCAAACAGGAUUAGAUACCCCCGUAGUCCCUGUCUCUUAUAC
rnacentral:rRNA from 1 species